UCAGUGGAUACCAUGGCAGUCAGUGUGACAAAUCGUGUCCAGACAACUGCCGAGACAAGAUAUGUGACCAAACUAGCAGUGUGUGUACAGAAUGUGAGGUUGGAUUCUAUAGCGGUUUCUGUGAUCAGGCUUGCCCUAGUAGCUGUAUAAACAACGUGUGUAUCAAGGACAACGGUCAUUGCACAGAAUGUGUUCCUGGUGUGUAUGGCCCCAACUGCACUCAGACCUGUCCUGUCAGCUGUCAAGGCAAGUGUGAAAGAAACACCGGAGAGUGCAAUGGUAUAGUUAUUUGUU